GCAUAUCAAUAAGCGGAGGAAAAGAAACUAACUAGGAUGCCCUUAGUAACGGCGAGCGAACCGGGCAAAGCCCAACUUGAAAAUCUCCAGCCUCCGGCUGGCGAAUUGUAGUCUAUAGAAGUGCUUUCUGCUUCAGUCCGGCCCCAAGUCCCCUGGAAAGGGGCGUCAGAGAGGGUGAGAACCCCGUUGGGACCGGAUCCUGAGGCUCCACGAAACGCUUUCGAAGAGUCGGGUUGCUUGGGAAUGCAGCCCAAAGAAGGUGGUAAAUCCCAUCUAAGGCUAAAUACAGACGGGAGACCGAUAGCGAACAAGUACCGUGAGGGAAAGAUGAAAAGAACUUUGAAAAGAGAGUUAAAAAGUGCUUGAAAUUGUUGAGAGGGAAGUGAUUAGAUCGUACGGGUGCGCCCAGGCACACGCCUGCCUAACGGUUGGCUGAAUGCGCUGGGUGCUGGUCAGCAUGGGUUGACCGGGCGGGACAAACCCGGGGAUUGUUACCCCGGCUAUGUCGCCUGGUCGAUCGAGGAAAGAAUGGCGCUCUCUGAGUCCUUCGGGAACUGCGUCAUCAAGAUGCUGGCGGAAACGUUCUAAUCAGCCCGUCUUGAAACACGGACC
rnacentral:rRNA from 1 species